UUGGAGGUAGAGCACUGUUUGGACGAGGGGCCCCUCUCGGGUUACCGAAUUCAGACAAACUCCGAAUGCCAAUUAAUUUAACUUGGGAGUCAGAACAUGGGUGAUAAGGUCCGUGUUCGAAAGGGAAACAGCCCAGACCACCAGCUAAGGUCCCAAAAUAUAUGUUAAGUGGAAAAGGAUGUGGCGUUGCCCAGACAACUAGGAUGUUGGCUUAGAAGCAGCCAUCAUUUAAAGAGUGCGUAAUAGCUCACUAGUCGAGUGACACUGCGCCGAAAAUGUACCGGGGCUAAACAUAUUACCGAAGCUGUGGAUUGUCCUUUGGACAAUGGUAGGAGAGCGUUCUAAGGGCGUUGAAGCAUGAUCGUAAGGACAUGUGGAGCGCUUAGAAGUGAGAAUGCCGGUGUGAGUAGCGAAAGACGGGUGAGAAUCCCGUCCACCGAUUGACUAAGGUUUCCAGAGGAAGGCUCGUCCGCUCUGGGUUAGUCGGGUCCUAAGCUGAGGCCGACAGGCGUAGGCGAUGGAUAACAGGUUGAUAUUCCUGUACCACCUAUAAUCGUUUUAAUCGAUGGGGGGACGCAGUAGGAUAGGCGAAGCGUGCGAUUGGAUUGCACGUCUAAGCAGUAAGGCUGAGUAUUAGGCAAAUCCGGUACUCAUUAAGGCUGAGCUGUGAUGGGGAGAAGACAUUGUGUCUUCGAGUCGUUGAUUUCACACUGCCGAGAAAAGCCUCUAGAUAGAAAAUAGGUGCCCGUACCGCAAACCGACACAGGUAGUCAAGAUGAGAAUUCUAAGGUGAGCGAGCGAACUCUCGUUAAGGAACUCGGCAAAAUGACCCCGUAACUUCGGGAGAAGGGGUGCUCUUUAGGGUUAACGCCCAGAAGAGCCGCAGUGAAUAGGCCCAAGCGACUGUUUAUCAAAAACACAGGUCUCUGCUAAACCGUAAGGUGAUGUAUAGGGGCUGACGCCUGCCCGGUGCUGGAAGGUUAAGAGGAGUGGUUAGCUUCUGCGAAGCUACGAAUCGAAGCCCCAGUAAACGGCGGCCGUAACUAUAACGGUCCUAAGGUAGCGAAAUUCCUUGUCGGGUAAGUUCCGACCCGCACGAAAGGCGUAACGAUUUGGGCACUGUCUCAACGAGAGACUCGGUGAAAUCAUAGUACCUGUGAAGAUGCAGGUUACCCGCGACAGGACGGAAAGACCCCGUGGAGCUUUACUGUAGCCUGAUAUUGAAAUUCGGCACAGCUUGUACAGGAUAGGUAGGAGCCUUUGAAACGUGAGCGCUAGCUUACGUGGAGGCGCUGGUGGGAUACUACCCUAGCUGUGUUGGCUUUCUAACCCGCACCACUUAUCGUGGUGGGAGACAGUGUCAGGCGGGCAGUUUGACUGGGGCGGUCGCCUCCUAAAAGGUAACGGAGGCGCUCAAAGGUUCCCUCAGAAUGGUUGGAAAUCAUUCAUAGAGUGUAAAGGCAUAAGGGAGCUUGACUGCGAGACCUACAAGUCGAGCAGGGUCGAAAGACGGACUUAGUGAUCCGGUGGUUCCGCAUGGAAGGGCCAUCGCUCAACGGAUAAAAGCUACCCCGGGGAUAACAGGCUUAUCUCCCCCAAGAGUUCACAUCGACGGGGAGGUUUGGCACCUCGAUGUCGGCUCAUCGCAUCCUGGGGCUGUAGUCGGUCCCAAGGGUUGGGCUGUUCGCCCAUUAAAGCGGUACGCGAGCUGGGUUCAGAACGUCGUGAGACAGUUCGGUCCCUAUCCGUCGUGGGCGUAGGAAAUUUGAGAGGAGCUGUCCUUAGUACGAGAGGACCGGGAUGGACAUACCUCUGGUGUACCAGUUGUCGUGCCAACGGCAUAGCUGGGUAGCUAUGUGUGGACGGGAUAAGUGCUGAAAGCAUCUAAGCAUGAAGCCCCCCUCAAGAUGAGAUUUCCCAACUUCGGUUAUAAGAUCCCUCAAAGAUGAUGAGGUUAAUAGGUUCGAGGUGGAAGCAUGGUGACAUGUGGAGCUGACGAAUACUAAUCGAUCGAAGACUUAAUCAA
rnacentral:rRNA from 2 species